GAUGAAGAACGUAGCGAAAUGCGAUAAGUAAUGCGAAUUGCAGAAUUCCAGUGAAUCAUCGAAUCUUUGAACGCACAUUGCGCCCCUUGGUAUCCCGAGGGGCAUGCCUGUUCGAGCGUCAUUUCACCACUCAAGCCUGGCUUGGUGUUGGGCGACGUCCCCUUUAGGGACGCGCCUCGAAACGCUCGGCGGCGCGGCACCGGCUUUAAGCGUAGCAGAAUCUUUCGCUUUGGAAGUCGGGGCCCCGCCUGCCGGAAUACCUACUUGUGAGGUUGACCUCGGAUCAGGCAGGGAUACCCGCUGAACUUAAGCAUAUCAAUAAGCGGAGGA
rnacentral:misc_RNA from 1 species